AUACGGAGGGUGCAAGCGUUACUCGGAAUCACUGGGCGUAAAGCGCGCGCAGGCGGCCAUUUAAGUUGGAUGUGAAAGCCUACGGCUCAACCGUAGAACUGCAUCCAAAACUAUUUGGCUAGAGUGUGGGAGAGGAAGAUGGAAUUAGUUGUGUAGGGGUAAAAUCCGUAGAGAUAACUAGGAAUACCAAAAGCGAAGGCAAUCUUCUGGAACAUCACUGACGCUGAGGCGCGAAAGCGUGGGGAGCAAACAGGAUUAGAAACCCGAGUAGUCC
rnacentral:rRNA from 1 species